CGAGCAUGAACUAAUGGAGGAGGAGAAAGUCACACCAUCACUCAUUUUCCAACAGCUUUACGUCACCGCAGGCUGAGGACACAGAGAACAAGAUGAAGAGCAACUGUAAGACAGAUGGUGACUUGAUCUACAGCGUAUCAUCAGCUAAGAGGCAGGUCAGGCUGAAGCGAUGAUACUUACUGGCGAAUAUCCAGAGACUCAUAACAGGAUGUUUAUCUGCAUCACUGACUCCCCACAUCAGCCGAGUGCUCUCACACAAAG